UACGUAGGGGCAAGCGUUGUCCGGAUUUAUUGGGCGUAAAGAGCGUGUAGGCGGUUUGGUAGGUCCGUUGUGAAAACUCGAGGCUCAACCUCGAGACGCCGAUGGAAACCAUCAGACUAGAGUCCGGAAGAGGAGAGUGGAAUUCCUGGUGUAGCGGUGAAAUGCGCAGAUAUCAGGAAGAACACCCGUGGCUAAGACGGCUCUCUAGUACGGUACUGACGCUGAGACGCGAAAGCGUGGGGAGCGAACAGG
rnacentral:rRNA from 1 species